CCUUACAAAAGUUAUUGAUGAGUUUCGAUUGAGUUUCUUUUGUAUUUUAUGAGAAUACAUCAGAAACUCAAUUGAAACUCAUUGAUCACUUUUGUCA
rnacentral:pre_miRNA from 1 species